rnacentral:rRNA from 1 species
AUGUACAAGAACCAGCUGCAGGAGCUGGCGCAGAGGAGCUGCUUCAGCCUGCCGUCGUACGUGUGCACGCGGGAGGGGCCCGACCAUGCGCCCCGCUUCAAGGCCACCGUCACCUUCAACGGCGAGACCUUCCACGGGCCCACCUGCUGCACCACGCUCCGCCAGGCCGAGCACGCCGCCGCCGAGGUCGCCCUCGCCCGCCUCUCCACCCGCGGGCCAUCCACCUACCUCACCGCCAGAGUCCUCGUAAGCUGCUUCUUCUCCUCCUCCUCGAUGCGCUUGCUUGCUCUGCAUGUGUCGUUGAUGAUGCCAGUGGGGUACUCAAAACUCAACUGUGUUGGCUGGUGUGUCGUUGAUGCCAAUGGCGUGCAGGACGAGACCGGGGUCUACAAGAACCUGCUGCAGGAGACGGCGCACCGGGCGGGGCUGAAGCUGCCGGUCUACACCACCGUGCGCUCCGGCCCGGGCCACUCGCCGGUCUUCGCCUCCAGCGUGGAGCUCGCCGGCCUCAGCUUCUUCGGCGACGCUGCCAGGACCAAGAAGCAGGCGGAGAAGAACGCCGCCAUGACCGCCUGGUCCGCCCUGAAGCAGAUGCCGGAGGCGCGCAAGGAGCCCGGCAACGGCUGCGGCGGCGAGGAGCAGGAGCACGUGGUCGUCGCCAGAGUGCUCGCCGCCCUGAAGCAGCGCUGCGACGGCAAUGCGGCGUCGCCCUUGCCGAAGCAGCACUGCGUCGCGGGCUCUUCUUCCUCUGCACCGAACCCGUCGCUCUACAGACACCAAUGGCUGCCUCUGAGCUCCCAUGCCGCACACCCAAGGACGCGCCACGUGCAGCCGCAGCCGCAGCCGGCCGGCCCCAGGAUACUGCCCCCGCUGCACAUGCUGCAGCGACCGGCGCCGUCCACCUCCCGUCACGGCGGCGAGCUGGAGCGGCAGAGGAGGAUCGAUGCGGCCGAGCUGGUGCAGAUGCUGGAGAGGGCCAUGGUGACGAACAGAGAGGAGGCAAUGCCGUCGGCGCCGUGCUACUACCCGCACGUCCCGGCGUACCACCACGCCGGCGCGGCGCCAAGAUACUUCGCCGCGGGCGGGUUCCACUCGCCGGCGAUGGCGGUGAGCGUGCGGUCGGUGAUCCCCGUGUGCUCUGCGCCGCCGCAGCCGGCCGCGGCCACCAAGGAUGACGAUGACCGGAGCGACCCGGCAGCACCUGCGGAGCACUAG